rnacentral:rRNA from 1 species
AGCGUACACGGUGGAUGCCCUGGCAGUCAGAGGCGAUGAAGGACGUGCUAAUCUGCGAAAAGCGCCGGCGAGGUGAUAUGAACCUUUGACCCGGCGAUGUCCGAAUGGGGAAACCCAGUGCAAUCCGUUGCACUAUCGUUAACUGAAUACAUAGGUUAACGAGGCGAACCGGGGGAACUGAAACAUCUAAGUACCCCGAGGAAAAGAAAUCAACCGAGAUUCCCCCAGUAGCGGCGAGCGAACGGGGAGCAGCCCGGAGUCUGAAUCAGCUUGUGUGUUAGUGGAACGGUCUGGAAAGUCCGACGGUACAGGGUGAUAGUCCCGUACACGAAAGCACACUUGCUGUGAACUCGAAGAGUAGGGCGGGACACGUGGUAUCCUGUCUGAAUAUGGGGGGACCAUCCUCCAAGGCUAAAUACUCCUGACUGACCGAUAGUGAACCAGUACCGUGAGGGAAAGGCGAAAAGAACCCCGGCGAGGGGAGUGAAAAAGAACCUGAAACCGUGUACGUACAAGCAGUGGGAGCCUCUUUAUGGGGUGACUGCGUACCUUUUGUAUAAUGGGUCAGCGACUUAUAUUCUGUAGCAAGGUUAACCGUAUAGGGGAGCCGAAGGGAAACCGAGUCUUAACUGGGCGUUAAGUUGCAGGGUAUAGACCCGAAACCCGGUGAUCUAGCCAUGGGCAGGUUGAAGGUUGGGUAACACUAACUGGAGGACCGAACCGACUAAUGUUGAAAAAUUAGCGGAUGACCUGUGGCUGGGGGUGAAAGGCCAAUCAAACCGGGAGAUAGCUGGUUCUCCCCGAAAGCUAUUUAGGUAGCGCCUCGUGAACUCAUCUUCGGGGGUAGAGCACUGUUUCGGCUAGGGGGCCAUCCCGGCUUACCAACCCGAUGCAAACUACGAAUACCGAAGAAUGUUAUCACGGGAGACACACGGCGGGUGCUAACGUCCGUCGUGAAGAGGGAAACAACCCAGACCGCCAGCUAAGGUCCCAAAGUCAUGGUUAAGUGGGAAACGAUGUGGGAAGGCACAGACAGCCAGGAUGUUGGCUUAGAAGCAGCCAUCAUUUAAAGAAAGCGUAAUAGCUCACUGGUCGAGUCGGCCUGCGCGGAAGAUGUAACGGGGCUAAACCAUGCACCGAAGCUGCGGCAGCGACGCUUAGGCGUUGUUGGGUAGGGGAGCGUUCUGUAAGCCGUUGAAGGUGUCCUGUGAGGGGUGCUGGAGGUAUCAGAAGUGCGAAUGCUGACAUAAGUAACGAUAAAGCGGGUGAAAAGCCCGCUCGCCGGAAGACCAAGGGUUCCUGUCCAACGUUAAUCGGGGCAGGGUGAGUCGACCCCUAAGGCGAGGCCGAAAGGCGUAGUCGAUGGGAAACAGGUUAAUAUUCCUGUACUUGGUGUUACUGCGAAGGGGGGACGGAGAAGGCUAUGUCAGCCGGGCGACGGUUGUCCCGGUUUAAGCAUGUAGGCGGAGGUUCCAGGUAAAUCCGGUACCUUAUUAACGCUGAGGUGUGAUGACGAGGCACUACGGUGCUGAAGUGAUAAAUGCCCUGCUUCCAGGAAAAGCCUCUAAGCAUCAGGUAACACGAAAUCGUACCCCAAACCGACACAGGUGGUCAGGUAGAGAAUACCAAGGCGCUUGAGAGAACUCGGGUGAAGGAACUAGGCAAAAUGGUGCCGUAACUUCGGGAGAAGGCACGCUGAUAUGUAGGUGAAGCCCCUGCGGGCGGAGCUGAAAUCAGUCGAAGAUACCAGCUGGCUGCAACUGUUUAUUAAAAACACAGCACUGUGCAAACACGAAAGUGGACGUAUACGGUGUGACGCCUGCCCGGUGCCGGAAGGUUAAUUGAUGGGGUUAGCGGCAACGCGAAGCUCUUGAUCGAAGCCCCGGUAAACGGCGGCCGUAACUAUAACGGUCCUAAGGUAGCGAAAUUCCUUGUCGGGUAAGUUCCGACCUGCACGAAUGGCGUAAUGAUGGCCAGGCUGUCUCCACCCGAGACUCAGUGAAAUUGAACUCGCUGUGAAGAUGCAGUGUACCCGCGGCAAGACGGAAAGACCCCGUGAACCUUUACUAUAGCUUGACACUGAACACUGGUCCUUGAUGUGUAGGAUAGGUGGGAGGCUUUGAAGCGUGGACGCCAGUCUGCGUGGAGCCAACCUUGAAAUACCACCCUUUAAUGGCUGGUGUUCUAACGUAGACCCGUAAUCCGGGUUGCGGACAGUGUCUGGUGGGUAGUUUGACUGGGGCGGUCUCCUCCCAAAGAGUAACGGAGGAGCACGAAGGUUGGCUAAUCCUGGUCGGACAUCAGGAGGUUAGUGCAAUGGCAUAAGCCAGCUUGACUGCGAGCGUGACGGCGCGAGCAGGUGCGAAAGCAGGUCAUAGUGAUCCGGUGGUUCUGAAUGGAAGGGCCAUCGCUCAACGGAUAAAAGGUACUCCGGGGAUAACAGGCUGAUACCGCCCAAGAGUUCAUAUCGACGGCGGUGUUUGGCACCUCGAUGUCGGCUCAUCACAUCCUGGGGCUGAAGUAGGUCCCAAGGGUAUGGCUGUUCGCCAUUUAAAGUGGUACGCGAGCUGGGUUUAGAACGUCGUGAGACAGUUCGGUCCCUAUCUGCCGUGGGCGCUGGAGAAUUGAGGGGGGCUGCUCCUAGUACGAGAGGACCGGAGUGGACGCAUCACUGGUGUUCGGGUUGUCAUGCCAAUGGCACUGCCCGGUAGCUAAAUGCGGAAGAGAUAAGUGCUGAAAGCAUCUAAGCACGAAACUUGCCCCGAGAUGAGUUCU